UACAUGGGGUGCAAACGUUGCUCGGAAUUAUUGGGCGUAAAGCGCACGUAGGCGGUCUACUAAGUCGGAUGUGAAAGCCCUCGGCUCAACCGAGGAAGUGCAUCCGAAACUGGCAGGCUAGAGUACGAAAGAGGGUCGCGGAAUUCCCGGUGUAGAGGUGAAAUUCGUAGAUAUCGGGAGGAACACCGGCGGCGAAGGCGGCGACCUGGGUCGAUACUGACGCUGAGGUGCGAAAGCGUGGGGAGCAAACAGG
rnacentral:rRNA from 1 species